GAUGAAGAACGCAGCGAAAUGCGAUAAGUAAUGUGAAUUGCAGAACUCAGUGAAUCAUCGAAUCUUUGAACGCACAUUGCGCCCUUUGGUAUUCCAAAGGGCAUGCCUGUUCGAGCGUCAUUUGUACCCUCAAGCUUUGCUUGGUGUUGGGCGUCUUGUCUCUAGCUUUGCUGGAGACUCGCCUUAAAGUAAUUGGCAGCCGGCCUACUGGUUUCGGAGCGCAGCACAAGUCGCACUCUCUAUCAGCAAAGGUCUAGCAUCCAUUAAGCCUUUUUUUCAACUUUUGACCUCGGAUCAGGUAGGGAUACCCGCUGAACUUAAGCAUAUCAAUAAGCGGAGGA
rnacentral:misc_RNA from 1 species